CGGGAUAAAUAUUACAGAGGGUUCUUUAAAUAAAUCCUGCUGUAAUGUAAUCGCGCACCCUAUUGGCCACGCCGGUGGCGCUAUUGCGCGCUGAGUUCGAAAUAUCUGCAGCAGAGUUAGAGAGAACUGCUGUGGGUGAGUCGGUUCUUUUGCAGCUCCGUGCUAAGAGUUAUAAAAUAUUGGUUUAAUAUUCGAAUAUUAGACAAUGCAUGUAAGAGAUUGCACACAGUGGGCAAUGGUUGAUUUUUGGAGUGUUUUCUGUAUAUGUUUCUUGGAAUUUUCAUACUUUUAUUUCCGUUUGCAUGAAUGCACUAAUGUCCGCCAUUUUCCCAUGUGCUCUAACUGCGUGCAAUGUUUUCUUGAGUAGACGGAGCUGCAUCCCGGCUGAAAAGACUCACUAUUCUCUCUCCUUUUUACUGCUCUGUGUGCAGAGUUAGAGAGAACUGCUGUGGACGGAGCUGCAUCCCGGCUGAAAAGACUCACUAUUCUCUCCUUUUUACUGCUCUGUGUGCAGAAAAUAAACGAUAAUAUCAUCCACAUUGAGUGUGUGUGCUGUUGAGGAGUGGGUCAGACUGGGCCAGUUUGGAUCAAAGGUCACAUAUA